ACAUUUUAGCCAUUGGAAACCAUUUAAAUGAAAAUGCAGGAAAAGAAAAGACAAAAGGAUUUCGAUUGUCAUCUUUGACCAAAUUAUCCCUGCUGCGGGGCAAGGAGAGGACGUUCACUUUGCUUCAUGCCCUUGUGGAACAGAUCUCCUUACAUGAGCCUGAUCUGGUGAAAUUUUCACAGGAACUGACAGAAUUUGAGGCUGUUCCUGAUGCUUCCAUGAAGGGCCUCAGUGCUGAAGUUGAUGUUCUAAAAAAGGAAUUGGAAAAUGUUACUCAGUGCAGGCGUCUGAUCAAACCCAGGACAACCAAGGCAACACCCCAGGAGUCACAAUUCUGCAGAGAACUAAAGGUAACACUACCCCAACCUUAUCGUGGGCUGGAGAUAAAAGAUAAGU
rnacentral:lncRNA from 1 species